rnacentral:sRNA from 1 species
ACCCGCUGAACUUAAGCAUAUCAAUAAGCGGAGGAAAAGAAACCAACAGGGAUUGCCCCAGUAACGGCGAGUGAAGCGGCAACAGCUCAAAUUUGAAAUCUGGCCCCCCGGGCCCGAGUUGUAAUUUGAAGAGGAUGCUUCUGGCAAGGUGCCGUCCGAGUUCCCUGGAACGGGACGCCGCAGAGGGUGAGAGCCCCGUACGGUCGGACGCCGAGCCUCUGUGAAGCUCCUUCGACGAGUCGAGUAGUUUGGGAAUGCUGCUCAAAAUGGGAGGUAAACCCCUUCUAAAGCUAAAUACCGGCCAGAGACCGAUAGCGCACAAGUAGAGUGAUCGAAAGAUGAAAAGCACUUUGAAAAGAGAGUUAAAAAGCACGUGAAAUUGUUGAAAGGGAAGCGCUUGCGACCAGACUCGCGCCCGUCGGAUCAGCCGUCGCUCGUCGGCGGUGCACUCCGGCGGGCUCGGGCCAGCAUCAGUUCGCCUCGGGGGGAGAAAGGCGGCGGGAAUGUGGCUCUACGGAGUGUUAUAGCCCGCCGCGUAAUACCCCCGGGCGGACUGAGGACCGCGCGUAUGCAAGGAUGCUGGCGUAAUGGUCGUCAGCGACCCGUCUUGAAACACGGACCAAGGAGUCGUCCUAAUAUGCGAGUGUACGGGUGUCAAACCCCUGCGCGUAAUGAAAGUGAACGGAGGUGAGAGCUUCGGCGCAUCAUCGACCGAUCCUGAUGUUCUCGGAUGGAUUUGAGUAAGAGCAUAUUGGGCCGGACCCGAAAGAAGGUGAACUAUGCCUGUGUAGGGUAAAGCCAGAGGAAACUCUGGUGGAGGCUCGCAGCGGUUCUGACGUGCAAAUCGAUCGUCAAACAUGGGCAUGGGGGCGAAAGACUAAUCGAACCUUCUAGUAGCUGGUUUCCGCCGAGUU